rnacentral:tRNA from 1 species
GCCGGCGUGGCGGAACUGGCAGACGCGCUGGACUCAAAAUCCAGUGAUCGCAAGAUCGUGUGGGUUCAAGCCCCUCCGCCGGCA